rnacentral:rRNA from 1 species
AGCUUGCUGCUUCGCUGACGAGUGGCGGACGGGUGAGUAAUGUCUGGGAAACUGCCUGAUGGAGGGGGAUAACUACUGGAAACGGUGGCUAAUACCGCAUAACGUCGCAAGACCAAAGAGGGGGACCUUCGGGCCUCUUGCCAUCAGAUGUGCCCAGAUGGGAUUAGCUUGUUGGUGAGGUAACGGCUCACCAAGGCGACGAUCCCUAGCUGGUCUGAGAGGAUGACCAGCCACACUGGAACUGAGACACGGUCCAGACUCCUACGGGAGGCAGCAGUGGGGAAUAUUGCACAAUGGGCGCAAGCCUGAUGCAGCCAUGCCGCGUGUAUGAAGAAGGCCUUCGGGUUGUAAAGUACUUUCAGCGGGGAGGAAGGUGUUGUGGUUAAUAACCGCAGCAAUUGACGUUACCCGCAGAAGAAGCACCGGCUAACUCCGUGCCAGCAGCCGCGGUAAUACGGAGGGUGCAAGCGUUAAUCGGAAUUACUGGGCGUAAAGCGCACGCAGGCGGUCUGUCAAGUCGGAUGUGAAAUCCCCGGGCUCAACCUGGGAACUGCAUUCGAAACUGGCAGGCUUGAGUCUUGUAGAGGGGGGUAGAAUUCCAUGGG